GCUUGCUACCCGCUGACGAGCGGCGGACGGGUGAGUAAUGCAUAGGAAUCUGCCCGAUAGUGGGGGAUAACCUGGGGAAACCCAGGCUAAUACCGCAUACGUCCUACGGGAGAAAGGGGGCUUCGGCUCCCGCUAUUGGAUGAGCCUAUGUCGGAUUAGCUAGUUGGUAAGGUAAUGGCUUACCAAGGCAACGAUCCGUAGCUGGUCUGAGAGGAUGAUCAGCCACAUCGGGACUGAGACACGGCCCGAACUCCUACGGGAGGCAGCAGUGGGGAAUAUUGGACAAUGGGGGCAACCCUGAUCCAGCCAUGCCGCGUGUGUGAAGAAGGCCCUCGGGUUGUAAAGCACUUUCAGCGAGGAAGAACGCCUAUCGGUUAAUACCCGGUAGGAAAGACAUCACUCGCAGAAGAAGCACCGGCUAACUCCGUGCCAGCAGCCGCGGUAAUACGGAGGGUGCAAGCGUUAAUCGGAAUUACUGGGCGUAAAGCGCGCGUAGGUGGCUUGAUAAGCCGGUUGUGAAAGCCCCGGGCUCAACCUGGGAACGGCAUCCGGAACUGUCAGGCUAGAGUGCAGGAGAGGAAGGUAGAAUUCCCGGUGUAGCGGUGAAAUGCGUAGAGAUCGGGAGGAAUACCAGUGGCGAAGGCGGCCUUCUGGACUGACACUGACACUGAGGUGCGAAAGCGUGGGUAGCAAACAGGAUUAGAUACCCUGGUAGUCCACGCCGUAAACGAUGUCGACCAGCCGUUGGGUGCCUAGAGCACUUUGUGGCGAA
rnacentral:rRNA from 1 species